rnacentral:tRNA from 1 species
GGGAAUGUGGCUUAGUGGUAGAGUGCUUGCUUAACAUGCAUGAAGCCCUGGGUUUGAUUCCUCAAUACCA